CAGCCGCCGCGGUAAUACGUAGGUCCCGAGCGUUGUCCGGAUUUAUUGGGCGUAAAGCGAGCGCAGGCGGUUAGAUAAGUCUGAAGUUAAAGGCUGUGGCUUAACCAUAGUACGCUUUGGAAACUGUUUAACUUGAGUGCAAGAGGGGAGAGUGGAAUUCCAUGUGUAGCGGUGAAAUGCGUAGAUAUAUGGAGGAACACCGGUGGCGAAAGCGGCUCUCAGGCUUGUAACUGACGCUGAGGCUCGAAAGCGUGGGGAGCAAACAGGAUUAGAUACCCCAGUAGUCCCUGUCUCUUAUACA
rnacentral:rRNA from 1 species